UGCGUAGGUGGUUUCUUAAGUCAGAGGUGAAAGGCUACGGCUCAACCGUAGUAAGCCUUUGAAACUGGGAAACUUGAGUGCAGGAGAGGAGAGUGGAAUUCCUAGUGUAGCGGUGAAAUGCGUAGAUAUUAGGAGGAACACCAGUGGCGAAGGCGGUCUACUGGGCACCAACUGACGCUGAGGCUCGAAAGCAUGGGUAAGCAAACA
rnacentral:rRNA from 1 species